UACGAAGGGGGCUAGCGUUGUUCGGAAUCACUGGGCGUAAAGCGCACGUAGGCGGAUUUUUAAGUCAGGGGUGAAAUCCCGAGGCUCAACCUUGGAACUGCCUUUGAUACUGGAGAUCUUGAGUCCGGAAGAGGUAAGUGGAACUGCGAGUGUAGAGGUGAAAUUCGUAGAUAUUCGCAAGAACGCCAGUGUCGAAGGCGGCUUACUGGUCCGGAACUGACGCUGAGGUGCGAAAGCGUGGGGAGCAAACAGG
rnacentral:rRNA from 1 species